AUUGAACGCUGGCGGCAUGCCUUACACAUGCAAGUCGAACGGUAACAGGUCUUCGGAUGCUGACGAGUGGCGAACGGGUGAGUAAUACAUCGGAACGUGCCUAGUAGUGGGGGAUAACUACUCGAAAGAGUGGCUAAUACCGCAUGAGAUCUACGGAUGAAAGCAGGGGAUCGCAAGACCUUGUGCUACUAGAUCGGCCCAUGGCAGAUUAGGUAGUUGGUGGGAUAAAAGCUUACCAAGCCGACGAUCUGUAGCUGGUCUGAGAGGACGCUCAGCCACACUGGGACUGAGACACGGCCCAGACUCCUACGGGAGGCAGCAGUGGGGAAUUUUGGACAAUGGGCGCAAGCCUGAUCCAGCAAUGCCGCGUGCAGGAUGAAGGCCUUCGGGUUGUAAACUGCUUUUGUACGGAACGAAAAGCCCCGGGUUAAUACCCUGGGGUCAUGACGGUACCGUAAGAAUAAGCACCGGCUAACUACGUGCCAGCCGCCGCAGUAA
rnacentral:rRNA from 1 species